rnacentral:rRNA from 1 species
GUGGGGAAUAUUGGACAAUGGGCGAAAGCCUGAUCCAGCCAUGCCGCGUGUGUGAAGAAGGUCUUCGGAUUGUAAAGCACUUUAAGUUGGGAGGAAGGGCAGUAAGUUAAUACCUUGCUGUUUUGACGUUACCGACAGAAUAAGCACCGGCUAACUUCGUGCCAGCAGCCGCGGUAAUACGAAGGGUGCAAGCGUUAAUCGGAAUUACUGGGCGUAAAGCGCGCGUAGGUGGUUUUGUAAGUUGGAGGUGAAAUCCCCGGGCUCAACCUGGGAACUGCCUCCAAAAAUGCAUGACUAGAGUACGGUAGAGGGUAGUGGAAUUUCCUGUGUAGCGGUGAAAUGCGUAGAUAUAGGAAGGAACACCAGUAGCGAAGGCGACUACCUGGACUGAUACUGACACUGAGGUGCGAAAGCGUGGGGAGCAAACAGGAUUAGAUACCCCUGUAGUCC